rfam:Schistosoma mattheei strain Denwood, Zambia genome assembly, scaffold: SMTD_contig0006519
AUCCAGCUGAUGAGACCCAAAUAAGAUGAAACGCGCGUCCUGGAU